GAAAAACUUGAGUGAACUGAGAAGACAGACAGCCCGUGACCAAAUUCUGAGAACUCCAACCAUUCACUGGUUGAGUGGAAGAGAACAAGCUCAGAAAAUAAAUGGAGAAAACAUGGUAGGAGGAGUAGAAGAAAAAUGAGGAGAAUGCUGUCUCAUGGAAGACAAGGGAAUUGGUGCACAUGGUAUGGACCCCAGCAAGUCCCCCUCUGCAGGUCAGGUGGGGAUCCAGGGAAGAUGCUGGAGACCAUGUUACAGCUCCAAUCCAAAGGGACUCUGAAGUUCAUCAUGAGCAUGUCUGAAAGUCAGGAGCUGAGAGGGCACUGACUGAGCCUCUCACAAUCAAAUCACUCCUCUCUAGCUAGCAAAGCUUGGAGAAGCCUGAACAAGCUGGUCACCCUCACUGGCAAAGACUUUCAUUUCCACGGAAGGGAAACUGAUGACCUGGGACCAUUGGAAGAACUAGGAAACAAACAUGAGAGCUUCGGGGAAGACAGACCAGCCAAAAUUCUCUGAAGGAAGAUGUAAGUGAGGGACGUUUCUGAGCUGGAUGACUUCACCACUGAAGUGCAAGUGAGAGGAUGCUGGAGCAUGGUGGAUUGUCAAGUGCCAAGCUGGAAUAGUAAACGCAGUGGUGGGGAGUGGAUCCGGUAAUACUGGAGCAUUUAGAAUCAAGGCCAGCCCUCAGACUGAAUGUGGAGAUAACUAGUUCUCUGCCAGUCUAUUAUUUCUGAAGAAAGAGCUUGACUAAGUUUAUUUUACUCACAUUUUUUUUUGCUUGUCUCAAAUUA
rnacentral:lncRNA from 1 species